AUUGAACGCUGGCGGCAGGCCUAACACAUGCAAGUCGAGCGGAUGAAGGGAGCUUGCUCCUGGAUUCAGCGGCGGACGGGUGAGUAAUGCCUAGGAAUCUGCCUGGUAGUGGGGGAUAACGUCCGGAAACGGGCGCUAAUACCGCAUACGUCCUGAGGGAGAAAGUGGGGGAUCUUCGGACCUCACGCUAUCAGAUGAGCCUAGUUCGGAUUAGCUAGUUGGUGGGGUAAAGGCCUACCAAGGCGACGAUCCGUAACUGGUCUGAGAGGAUGAUCAGUCACACUAGAACUGAGACACGGUCCAGACUACUACGGGAGGCAGCAGUGGGGAAUAUUGAACAAUGGGCGAAAGCCUGAUCCAGCCAUGCCGCGUGUGUGAAGAAGGUCUUCGGAUUGUAAAGCACUUUAAGUGGGGAGGAAGGGCAGUAAGUUAAUACCUUGCUGUUUUGACGUUACCAACAGAAUAAGCACCGGCUAACUUCGUG
rnacentral:rRNA from 1 species